GGGAAAAAGUGAAGCUGCCAGCAUGAUCUAUCUUCCGUUAGUAAGAUGCGGAUGCUAUAUUGCUAACCCUAGCUAGGUCAUGCUGCGACAGCCUCACUCCUUCCU
rnacentral:pre_miRNA from 1 species